GACGAACGCUGGCGGCGUGCUUAACACAUGCAAGUCGAACGGAAAGGCCCUGCUUUUGUGGGGUGCUCGAGUGGCGAACGGGUGAGUAACACGUGAGUAAACUGCCCUUGACUUUGGGAUAUCUUCAGGAAACUGGGGCUAAUACCGGAUAGGAGCUGCUGCUGCAUGGGGGGGGGUGGAAAGCUUCGGCGGUUGGGGAUGGACUCGCGGCUUAUCAGCUUGUUGGUGGGGUAGUGGCUUACCAAGGCUUUGACGGGUAGCCGGCCUGAGAGGGUGACCGGCCACAUUGGGACUGAGAUACGGCCCAGACUCCUACGGGAGGCAGCAGUGGGGAAUAUUGCACAAUGGGCGGAAGCCUGAUGCAGCAACGCCGCGUGCGGGAUGACGGCCUUCGGGUUGUAAACCGCUUUCGCCUGUGACGAAGCGUGAGUGACGGUAAUGGGUAAAGAAGCACCGGCUAACUACGUG
rnacentral:rRNA from 1 species